rnacentral:rRNA from 1 species
UACGUAGGGGGCAAGCGUUGUCCGGAAUCAUUGGGCUUAAAGCGCGUGUAGGCGGACAGGCACGUCCGAGGCUGAAAGCCCCCGGCUCAACCGGGGAACUGGCCCGGAUACGGCCCGUCUGGAGGGGCAUAGGGGGAGCUGGAACUUCCGGUGGAGCGGUGAAAUGCGUUGAGAUCGGAAGGAACGCCCGUGGCGAAAGCGAGCUCCUGGAUGCCUUCUGACGCUGAGACGCGAAAGCCAGGGGAG